rnacentral:rRNA from 1 species
CAAAGGUUUGGUCCUAGCUUUUUUAUUAGUUGUUAGUAAAAUUAUACAUGCAAGAAUCAUCUUCCCAGUGAGAAUGCCCUCCAAGUCAUGCAGACAUAGAGGAGCAGGUAUCAAGCACACUAAUAAAGUAGCUCAUAACACCUUGCUUAGCCACACCCCCACGGGAUACAGCAGUAAUCAAAAUUAAGCAAUAAACGAAAGUUUGACUAAGUUAUACAACUUCUACAAAGGGUUGGUAAAUCUCGUGCCAGCCACCGCGGUCAUACGAUUAACCCUAAUUAAUAAACCCUCGGCGUAAAGAGUGUUAAAAAUAACAUUAUAAUAAGAUAAAAUUUUAUCUAAGUCGUAAAAAACAACAGAUAAAAACAAGACCAUUUACGAAAGUAAUCUUAAUAUAUCUGAAAACACCAAAGCUAAGAUCCAAACUGGGAUUAGAUACCCCACUAUGCUUAGCCGUAAACACAAACAUUUAAUAACAAAAAUUUUCGCCAGAGAACUACUAGCCACAGCUUAAAACUCAAAGGACUUGG